GUGGGUAGUUUGACUGGGGCGGUCUCCUCCUAAAGAGUAACGGAGGAGCACGAAGGUUGGCUAAUCCUGGUCGGACAUCAGGAGGUUAGUGCAAUGGCAUAAGCCAGCUUGACUGCGAGCGUGACGGCGCGAGCAGGUGCGAAAGCAGGUCAUAGUGAUCCGGUGGUUCUGAAUGGAAGGGCCAUCGCUCAACGGAUAAAAGGUACUCCGGGGAUAACAGGCUGAUACCGCCCAAGAGUUCAUAUCGACGGCGGUGUUUGGCACCUCGAUGUCGGCUCAUCACAUCCUGGGGCUGAAGUAGGUCCCAAGGGUAUGGCUGUUCGCCAUUUAAAGUGGUACGCGAGCUGGGUUUAGAACGUCGUGAGACAGUUCGGUCCCUAUCUGCCGUGGGCGCUGGAGAACUGAGGGGGGCUGCUCCUAGUACGAGAGGACCGGAGUGGACGCAUCACUGGUGUUCGGGUUGUCAUGCCAAUGGCACUGCCCGGUAGCUAAAUGCGGAAGAGAUAAGUGCUGAAAGCAUCUAAGCACGAAACUUGCCCCGAGAUGAGUUCUCCCUGAGACUUUAGGUCUCCUGAAGGAACGUUGAAGACGACGACGUUGAUAGGCUGGGUGUGUAAGCGCAGCGAUGCGUUGAGCUAACCGGUACUAAUGAACCGUGAGGCUUAACCUUACAACGCCGAAG
rnacentral:rRNA from 1 species